AUGGGGCUUCCACUCACAACUGGCCGACUUAGGCUAGUACAUCUUCAGUUCAUCCUGGAUAGAUUGCGGGCUAGACUAGCGGGCUGGAAAGGGAAAAUGCUCUCUAUGGCCGGGCGCAGGGUCCUCGCCAGAUGCGUCCUCACCGCCAUGCCAACGUUUGCCUUCACAGCCCUCAAAAUCCCAGUGAAGCUGCUGAAAGAAAUAGACAAAUGUAGACGUUGCUUCCUUUGGGGCCAUGAUCAAGAGCUCACCAGCGGCAGCUGCAAAGUGAAUUGGGCACGGGUCUGCUCCCCUAUCGAGCAUGGUGGCCUUGGCAUCCUCGACCUGUACAAGUUCACUCGUGCUCUCCGCCUUCGCUGGCUCUGGCACGCCUGGAAAAGCCCGGAGCGCCCAUGGGUAGGAACAGAGCUGCCAUGCGAUGCCUCCGAUCACGCCCUUUUUAGUGCGGCCACAAAGGUGACUAUUGGCAAUGGCAAAACAGCUAGUUUCUGGCACUCGGCUUGGAUCGAUGCGUCUCCGCUGAAGCUCCUCCACCCCAACCUCUUCAAACACUCCAGAGAAAAGAACAGAUCGGUGGCGCAGGCCCUACACGAAGACCGCUGGGUUUCUGACCUGGCGCACGGUGACACUGGUUCUAUUGCACAUGAGGUGCUCAUUUUGCACCGCCGGCUGCAAUCGUACCACCUUCAGGAAGCCAGCCAAGACCGGAUCGCUUGGAAGAUUGAAGCAUCCGGACAGUACACUACACAUUCAGCCUACCGCGCCUAG
rnacentral:rRNA from 1 species